UGACCUCAAAUCAGGUAAGAAUACCCGCUGAACUUAAGCAUAUCAAUAGGCGGAGGAAAAGAAAAUAACAAUGAUUCCCUCAGUAACGGCGAGCGAAGAGGGAUAAGCUCAAAUUUUAAAUCUGUUGGGUUCCACUUGACAGAGUUGUAUUUUGAAGAAACGUUUUCUGCAUCCAGGAUUAGCCUAAAUCCUUUGGGAUAAGGUAUCAUGGAGGGUGAGAAUCCCGUUCAUGGUUAAUCUUAAGGAAGCUCUACGAUACGUUUUCCAAGAGUCGAGUUGUUUGGGAUUGCAGCUCAAAAUGGGAGGUAAAUUUCUCCUAAGGCUAAAUAUUGGCGAGAGACCGAUAGCGAACAAGUACCGUGAGGGAAAGAUGAAAAGAACUUUGAAAAGAGAGUUAAACAGUACGUGAAAUUGUUGAAAGGGAAACGAUUGAAGUCAGUCAUACCAACGGGAAAUCAACCUUUUGAGCUCGGUCUCGUGGGUUUUGAAGAGUUUCAAAGCCUUCGGAUUCGCGGGAUUGGGAUCUCUUGGUGUACUUUUUCGUACGGUUAGUCAACAUCGGUUUUGAAUGUCAUAAAAUGACUGGAGGAAUGUAGCUUCGAUCUCGUAUUGAAGUGUUAUAGCCUUCGGUAGAUGUGAUGUUUGAGACCGAGGAUUGCAACGGAUACCCUUCAGGGCUAUUCGUCUGAUCUCUGAUACGUUGCCUUGAUGUUGAAAGCUUGCUUAUGAUGUUAGGGUAUUACGGUCAAAAGGUUAGAACGAAUUACAUUCGUUAAGGAUGUUGACGUAAUGACUUUAAACGACCCGUCUUGAAACACGGACCAAGGAG
rnacentral:rRNA from 1 species